rnacentral:ncRNA from 1 species
CUAGCCUGUAGGGGUUAAGGUGUCGCCCCACGGGGCGGAGAAUUGGGAAGCCGGUGAAACUCCGGCACUGCCCCCGCAACGGUAAGGAAACGCGCCGCGCAUCUGGCCACCGAAGACCCCUUUGGGAAGGCGCGCGGCACAAGGGCCCUGUCAGACGGCCCGCGAUCCAAGUCCGGAAACCAGCCUUGGCAUAAAUGUCCAC